rnacentral:rRNA from 1 species
GACGAACGCUGGCGGCGUGCUUAACACAUGCAAGUCGAACGGAAAGGCCCUGCUUUUGUGGGGUGCUCGAGUGGCGAACGGGUGAGUAACACGUGAGUAACCUGCCCUUGACUUUGGGAUAACUUCAGGAAACUGGGGCUAAUACCGGAUAGGAGCUCCUGCUGCAUGGUGGGGGUUGGAGAGUUUCGGCGGUUGGGGAUGGACUCGCGGCUUAUCAGCUUGUUGGUGGGGUAGUGGCUUACCAAGGGUUUGACGGGUAGCCGGCCUGAGAGGGUGACCGGCCACAUUGGGACUGAGAUACGGCCCAGACUCCUACGGGAGGCAGCAGUGGGGAAUAUUGCACAGUGAGCGGAAGCCUGAUGCAGCAACGCCGCGUGCGGGAUGACGGCCUUCGAGUUGUAAACCGCUUUCGCCUGUGACGAAGCGUGAGUGACGGUAAUGGGUAAAGAAGCACCGGCUAACUACGUG